rnacentral:lncRNA from 1 species
UUCAACAGCUUAGGCCUACGCCAGCGUUGGCCUCCCAUUCCUCUUCUACCAGUCGCUUGGUUUCGCCCCGUGAUCGAACGACAAGCGUUCCCUUGUUCCUUGACCUUGGUGGGACGAGUGCUUCUGUGACUCCUUCUGCCCUCAAGUUGCCCACUGUCCUACAUCAUGCCCUCAAAGGCUUCCAACUAGGGGUGACGGUGGAC